UUCCAUAAUAAUUUUUUAAUGUGGUUAUGUACGUCUUCAUUUUUCUCAUUUUCAUUAAUAUGAAAGUUAUAAAUGAGUCGCCUUCUCGUAAUAUGGCACUUAAAAGAUAACAAAAUGAAUAAAAGGGAGUGUUCAAAAUUUUUCGAUGUAGAGAGGAGAGACCCCCAACUUUGGCUACUAGGAAAGGAAACCUGACUUGAAGGCUUGUUCCGCCACAUACAGUUCCUCACAGUCACCAGCAGGGGGAAAGUCGUGUUCUUUCUGUUUCCGAUGCAUCCCGGCGCCUCGCCGCUAAUUCCCCAACCGGAGGGAAAGGGAAGAGCCGGGCAGCUCCGGGUGGGUGUAACGUGGGAACUGGUUUAGAGCGGUCCCUUGGUACGGAAAGACCCCGCGAAAUAGGGUGUACGUCUUCCUAGCAGCCCUCUCUUUCCAGGCCCGCGGGGGAACUUGGCAAGGACUCCCUGCUGGCAGCUCGGCGGGGCAGGCGGGGUUGCGGCCGCUGCGGCGGGGCCCGGAGGGGAACCCAGGGGCUGCCGGCGCGGCUCCGCGGGACCUGGUGACCCGUGCCCGAGUCCGAGUGCGACCCAGUUUCAAGGUCAAGCCAUCACCUGAUGUGCUGAUGAGGACAUUCACUAUGUGACACAGUCUUUGCUUUAUGGGCGCCCUCAGGAGAAAUGUGACCUACUUGAAGAACAGGAAGAGGCACUUCUCAGCAUGAAACUUAUUUUUAUCUUAAGGACACUGUGAACCAGCCCCGCAGGAUGUCUGUUUCCCCAAGCCAAGCCAGGCGGCCCACCCGGAAGAGGAAGCGCGGCAGGUGCCUGCAGGCCGGGCUCCCACAGCACAGUGUGAGACCUCGGGCUACAACACGGGACCCGGGCGCUGCUCCUACCCUCGUGUCUUGUGUUGCAGCCGGAGGGACGCAGGUCCGCAGCAGAGCCUGCAGCGCCGCCGGGGACUCGACGCUGCGCGACGCGCGGAGACGGGGCAGCCCUAGACUGUUGGAGGGCGGGUGUAGCGCCCAGCGGAGUGGCGGGCCGGCACCCGCCGCCCGGGCACUGCGUGGUGCGUGGUCCGCCCCGUCAGGCGGGGUGUGGGGGUCUCUCCUCGCCCUGGUCCUCUUCGGCAGCUAUGCCAGCUCUCUGGUGGCACACCCGCGGGACCUGGGCUUGAGGAUUCUCUGUGCUCCUCACUCCCGGGCCCCAGGUCAGAUGGCCUAGGCUCCACAGUGAGGCUGGAAGGGCACCAAGGAAGGCAGUGGAUCCCCAAACCCUCUCGCGUUGGUGGGAAAGCCCAGCAUUAGACCUGAUUUUGAGACAGCAAGUGUUGCAAUUUCUGGAGUCGUCUGUUAAAGUGUAUUUUCUGCAAGAUCAUAGGUUAAACCACUGCAUCAACUGGGUUUCAUUGAUAACCUUACUUUCCCUCAUGACAGGGGCACAUGAGGGAAAGGAAAUUAGAUUGUACAUUUCAGGAAAGUGGCUCCAACAGAAGUAACCAAGCUGGAGGUGGGGGUCAGUCACCACACUGGGGCAGGAGCUGUGACACAGGGUCCAGGGAGUGACCCCUCCCUUCACAGCUGGGCUCUGCAGGUCACGUUUCUACAAAGCACCUGCUCCCCUGGGACAGGACCCCUCAGCCAGAUACGUCCAAAGGCAGGCAGCAGGCAGAAUUCCUUUUUCCUCAGGGGAGGUCAGUCUGUGUCUUAGUAAGGCCUUCUUUUAAUGGGUGAGGCCCACUCACACUACCUAGGGUAAUCUGCUUUACUCAAGUCCCUGCACUUAAAUGCUAAUCUCAUCCAAAAAAAAGUACUUUCACAGAAACAUCCAGAAUAAUGUUUGCCCAAAACUGGGCAUGGCAACCCAUCCAGUUGACACAUUAAAUUAACCACCAUACCUCUCCAUCAUAAUUUCUUAAAUUUCUUGAAGGCUGAACAUUCCUAUGGUCUCCAAACUAUAUGUCUCCUAAAUUUGGUCAGUUUAUGAGUCAUCAGGCCACCUCACAUGUGCUGGUAGUGUGAGACUCAGCCCCCAUCACCAAGAUACUCCAAAACUACACCAACUGAACCCCAUUCACACAAGGCCUGUGUGGGUGUAACAGACCACAGUGGGUAUCUUGGGAGGCGGGAUGGGUACUUCUUCAGCACAGCAAACCACUUCCAAUUGCACAGUAAAACCAUUUGGCCCACUCCCUUCUCUCCUCCUUCUUGUCUGUUUUCUUCUACCCCCUCAAAAUUAUCACUCAUUUCUAAUAAAAAUCAAUCUAGAUGUUUCUGUUACUUGAAUUCUGCCAAACCACACCUCUGGGAUCUCUUUCCAUUCCAGGGUAUUUUCCUACUUAAAGACAAUUGCCAAAGAAUCUCAGUACCAGAGGCAGGCCAUUACUUCAUCUUGAUCCUCUCAACAACCUGGUUUUCCAUCAGUUUGGAUUUUAUUCUACUCUCUUCCAGAUCCAUUCAAGAGAAGGAAAAACGCCGAACCUAUUUACAUUUAAGAACUAGUAAAUUUAUUAUAAAAGAGGAGGCCCUUAAACACCACAAAAUUGAUGAAAAGUGAGGAAUAAAGAAUGCUUUUUACUUAGGACCUGGGGCAGGUGUGGAAGAGCUGUCCCCUAUGUUACUGCACUGGACCUUAAUAUCGUACCACUACACAAACAAUGUAAGAAUCUUACAAUAGUAUUUAACCUAACUUCUUUCGUUGUGCUAUUUUUGUUGUAUAUUUUAUUUCUAUAUUCGUUACAUACCCUUUUUACACUGUUACAACUUUUGCUUUAAAUUGUCCACAGUUCUUCAAAAUCUCUUGCUUUGGAAAUAUAGACUCAUAGGAUAUUGCAGAAUUAGAGAAUCCUAUGUAUCCUUUACCCAUUUCCCCCCAGUAAUAACAUUUUACCUAACUAGAGUACAAUCCCAAACCAGGAAAUUGAUAUUGGAAAUUCUGUUAAUUGUGCCUUAUUCCGAUUUCACCGGUUUUCACAGAUGAGUGUGUAUGUGUGUGUAUCAUAAUUCUGUGCAAUUAACCACAUGUAUAGAUUUAUAAAACUACACUCCAAGUAAAAUACUUCACGACUGAGGAAUUCCCUUUACUUCUUUGUAAUCACACUCUCUACCUCCACACAAAUCCCUAUCCUCUUGCAACCAUUAAUUUGUUCUUCAUCUCUAUAAUUCUGCCAUUUUGAGAAUAUUAUAUAAAUGGAGUCAUACAGAAUAUUGCAUACAGAUCUAUGCAGUAUGUAUCAUGCAUCAUGUUUGUUCUUGUUUAUUGCUGAGUAAUAUUCCAUCAUACCAAUCUGUUCCUCCAUUCACCCACUGAAGGAUAUAUGGACUGUUUCCAUAUGUUGGCUAUUAUGAAUAA